GAUGAACGCUGGCGGCGUGCCUAAUACAUGCAAGUCGAGCGAACGGACGAGAAGCUUGCUUCUCUGAUGUUAGCGGCGGACGGGUGAGUAACACGUGGAUAACCUACCUAUAAGACUGGGAUAACUUCGGGAAACCGGCGCUAAUACCGGAUAAUCUUUUGAACCGCAUGGUUCAAAAGUGAAAGACGGUCUUGCUGUCACUUAUAGAUGGAUCCGCGCUGCAUUAGCUAGUUGGUAAGGUAACGGCUUACCAAGGCAACGAUGCAUAGCCGACCUGAGAGGGGGAUAGGCCACACUGGAACUGAGACACGGUCAAGACGACUACGGGAGGCAGCAGUAGGGAAUCUUCCGCAAUGGGCGAAAGUCUGACGGAGCAACGCCGCGUGAGUGAUGAAGGUCUUCGGAUCGUAAAACUCUGUUAUUAGGGAAGAACAUAUGUGUAAGUAACUGUGCACAUCGUGACGGUACCGAAUCAGAAAGCCACGGCUAACUACGUG
rnacentral:rRNA from 1 species